rnacentral:rRNA from 1 species
AGCCAGCAGCCGCGGUAAUACGUAGGUGGCAAGCGUUGUCCGGAAUUACUGGGCGUAAAGGGCGUGUAGGCGGCCUUUUAAGUCAGGCGUGAAAACUGUGGGCUUAACCCACAGACUGCGUUUGAGACUGAGAGGCUUGAGGAUCGGAGAGGGCAGUGGAAUUCCCAGUGUAGCGGUGAAAUGCGUAGAUAUUGGGAAGAACACCAGUGGCGAAGGCGGCUGCCUGGACGACACCUGACGCUGAGGCGCGAAAGCCAGGGGAGCAAACGGGAUUAGAUACCCCGGUAGUCCUGGCUGUAAACGAUGGGUACUAGGUGUGGGAGGUAUCGACCCCUUCCGUGCCGGAGUUAACACAAUAAGUACCCCGCCUGGGGAGUACGGCCGCAAGGUUGAAACUCAAAGGAAUUGACGGGGGCCCGCACA